AAUAGAUACCCUGGUAGUCCACGCCGUAAACGAUGAGUGCUAGGUGUUAGGGGGUUUCCGCCCCUUAGUGCUGAAGUUAACGCAUUAAGCACUCCGCCUGGGGAGUACGGCCGCAAGGCUGAAACUCAAAAGAAUUGACGGGGACCCGCACAAGCGGUGGAGCAUGUGGUUUAAUUCGAAGCAACGCGAAGAACCUUACCAGGUCUUGACAUCCUUUCGCCCUCCCUAGAGAUAGGGAUUUCCCUUCGGGGACGAAAGUGACAGGUGGUGCAUGGUUGUCGUCAGCUCGUGUCGUGAGAUGUUGGGUUAAGUCCCGCAACGAGCGCAACCCUUGAUCUUAGUUGCCAGCAUUAAGUUGGGCACUCUAAGGUGACUGCCGGUGACAAACCGGAGGAAGGUGGGGAUGACGUCAAAUCAUCAUGCCCCUUAUGACCUGGGCUACACACGUGCUACAAUGGAUGGUACAAAGGGCAGCGAAACCGCAAGGUCAAGCAAAUCCCAUAAAACCAUUCUCAGUUCGGAUUGUAGGCUGCAACUCGCCUAC
rnacentral:rRNA from 1 species